UAAAUAUAUCUAUAUAUAACCUUCUUUAUGAAGAAAAAUACAGAACAACUGAAUCAUUAACAGAUUCCAUCGUUCAUCGAGUUUGUUUCUUUUAGCACAUUAUAUGUAAGAAUAAAAGCUUCAAUUCCUUUUAGUUGAUGAACUUGUAAUUGAUUGAAAUAAUGCAUUUCUUGCUAACUUGACUAAUUUCAGUGUUUCUGAUCUAAAAUUUGACUAUCAGUUCGUACUACAAUCGCACCAUACAAUACAAUUGCUCACAUUCACUUGAGUUUCUA
rnacentral:lncRNA from 1 species